rnacentral:misc_RNA from 1 species
GCUCAAUCUUUUAAUAAAGGAAGACGAAACACUUCCUAAACUGAAAUUCUGUAAUGUGCUAAUGUUUUGGUUAGCAAUAGCCUUGGUUAUAAGCAGAAUUGAUGAAGUGGGUGUUGGAAUUAUAUUGGACCAUGAAUUUGUCCAAUUUUCUCGCCGUAAGUCUCGCUCGGCCCAACUUCCAUUUUCUUUUAAAGGCCCUCGUCAGGUUCAUAGCCGCCACCAAACUCAAGGGAUUUUUUUAUCUCCACAUCAAUCUGGAUUGAAUUUAUCAGGCCUGCAGUAAACAAAUCAACUUGUUGAUCUACCCGAACUGUUGUUGCAUGAGCUAGGAGGCUUUGGAACUGAUGUUUGUAUUCUUCCCUCGUCCUUUUCUGUUUUAGAUUAGCCAAAUUGCUCAAAAGAUUGCUAUUGAAUGGAGGCCUGAAUCUCAAAUUGCAAUAUUCUU